UACAGAGGGUGCAAGCGUUUGUUCGGAAUUAUUGGGCGUAAAGCGCGCGCAGGCGGUUCUUUUUAAGUCUGGUGUCUAAGUGCGGGGCUCAACCCCGUGUCGCACUGGAAACUGGGGAACUUGAGUGCAGAAGAGGAGAGCGGAAUUCCACGUGUAGCGGUGAAAUGCGUAGAGAUGUGGAGGAACACCAGUGGCGAAGGCGGCUACCUGGCCUAAUACUGACACUGAGGCACGAAAGCGUGGGGGAGCAAAACAGG
rnacentral:rRNA from 1 species